UCCUACGGGGGGCAGCAGUGGGGAAUAUUGCACAAUGGGGGAAACCCUGAUGCAGCGACGCCGCGUGAGUGAAGAAGUAUUUCGGUAUGUAAAGCUCUAUCAGCAGGGAAGAAAUAGCGACCUUUGGGUCGCCAGACGGUACCUGAUUAAGAAGCCCCGGCUAACUCCGUGCCAGCAGCCGCGGUAAUACGGAGGAUGCGAGCGUUAUCCGGAUUUAUUGGGUUUAAAGGGUGCGCAGGCGGAAGAUCAAGUCAGCGGUAAAAUUGAGAGGCUCAACCUCUUCGAGCCGUUGAAACUGGUUUUCU
rnacentral:rRNA from 1 species